UGAGGGAACAGUCAGGAGUUUUUCCACUGGGAAAGGAAAACAGAAGAUGGACCUGAUAAGCAUCUUGAAGCUGUCUUCUUCCUGAGGGCCAGUUAAGGACUCAGUUGCUGAGCAGACCUGCUAGACCUCACUUCAAAAGGCUCUCUGAAUCUCAACCACAUCCUCCAUUCAGCCCCAGAGUUAGAUCGUCGACCUGCAGCCCUUGCAGUAGCGUCAACUUGCUCCUCAUGGCAGCAGCCCCAUGGGAGGCCUGCUGGCUGUAAA